AUACAUUCAUGGUUACAGUGUGUUACAGUAUGAAAAAUGAAAUACAAAAUUUGUUUAUCAAUUGGUCAUCUCUGUGUUAUAUUUUUCAAUUUUUUUUCAUUUUUUCGACUU
rnacentral:ribozyme from 1 species